UAUGCAUUUAGAACAAAACCUUUUCUUUUUGAACUUCCUAACGCUGCUUAUUUGUGAUGAUGAUAGUCUGACACCAGCGGUGGACAGUAAACCGAGUACAUUUACUCAUCUACUCUGCUCAAGUACGGGUUUAUGGAAAUCAGAAAGCAGACUGCGUCCUCAGCAGCUCAUGUGUAAUGGGAUCAUGUUGCUCAAGCAGAGCGACAUAUGACUGAAAACUUCCUGUAUGAGCAAGUCUGGUCAGUCACCUCAUGCGUCUUUUAAAGUCACCUAAAAAGAAGAUAACUGCAGUUGGAUUUGUCUGAUGAAUGAAUAUUGUCAGAAGGAGUGGAAGUAUUCACAAAAAGUAGCAAAAUAUAAAAAUGCCAAAGCUUUAUCAGCAAAAUGAAAAUUAGGUUUGACAUGAAUCGGAUGGUAUGCAAAUGACAGAACAUGCUUAUUGUUUCUGUUUUAAAAUAUUCACUUUCUUGGCACGAGUUUGAUGAGAAGAUCAACACCACCCUUAUGAGCUACUGCCAGCAGCGGUUAGCUUAGCUUAACACAAAGACUGGAAACAGGGGGAAACAGGUAGCCUAGCCCUGAAAGCAACAACAUCCAACUUAUAGCACAUCUAAAACUCAAUGUUUUAUAUUUACUUAGUUUAAUUUGUACAAAAAACAAGUUUUACGUGUAGUUUACAUGACAGGUUAGCUGUUUCCCACUGUUUCCAGUCAUUAAGCUAAGCUAAGCAUUGCUAAGCUAACUGGCUACGAGCACUUCUAAAGCUCACCAAUUAACACAUUAUAUCUCAUCAGCGCUGUUGACACAUGACCCCCAUACAACACGUUUAUAGGUGCUGUUAUGGACGUAUUUUGUUUACUUUGGACUGUGCCAGGCUGUUUCCCCUUGUUUACAGUCUUUGUGCUAAGCUAAGCUAACCUGCCGCUGGGUAGCUUUACAUUUGCCGUACAGAUACAGCAGUGGUGUUAAUGUCAAACUAUUCCUUUAAAUGUCUUUAUUUAUAGCCUGUGUGAAAUUAAGAUACAGUCCAUCGUAAGGCCUCUGGUAACACGUUUGUGCAUUUAAAGGAUUUCCUGCUGUCUGUAAUUUGAUGAAUAUUCGGUGUAUCUUCAUUGGAGUACUGUGUGAACAUUACAUUCCUCAGAUUAGCACGCUGCUCAGUCAACACAACAAAAAGGUUAUCAGCGGCUGGUCUUCCCAUCCAGACACAAAGGUUAACAGACCCAAACUGAUGAACACGUCCCCAAACUGGGGUCACUAUCACCACGUUGUUUUUUAAAUAACAGCCUCAAUUGUUUGUUAACAUUAUUGAUCCAGGAGGUAUUGGAUUAUAUGAUACAACAACACUAAAGGUAGCCCCGCUAGCAGUCCUGUCAGGCUGUAAUACUCAUUACAAAACAGAAAGAUUCUACAGCACUAGAGGGGUAAAAAUGUAACGUAAUGCAGUUUAACACUGUGUUCUUAAAAGAUGACGAAGAUCAUGUGGUUAGAUUAAAAGUGCAGGAAUAGCUAGGCCCUAUUAAGGACAUUGUGGUGAGAUUAAGUUCUCAACUGUUGUUUUCAAGAUCAACAAUAAUGUUUGUCAUAUUUCAAAAGCCGAUGAAGAUCAUGUGAUGUGAUUGAAAGCUCCAGAACAGCUCCCUUGCUGUAUUUUCUCGACAAUCCUAUAUUCAGUUUAUCAGGCUUUGUUAUCAGCUGGACUAGUAACAGGUAGUAAAACCAUGAUUAGAGCUUAGACUUUAAACAUAUGAAAAUAUGUCAGUGUAAAUAUUAACAGUAAGGAAAUGUAUGUAAGGUAAUUACUGGUAAAAGUCUCUUCUUGUGUUGUCAACAAAGUUCCUCACAGGUGCACAGAGAAGAAUGAACCUCAACCUGUUCGUCUAUACACUGACAAUUAUUUGCGUCCCCUCGUGUUGUGACAGAAGUUUGAUGAAUGUAUUCAUGGUAUGUACUGUACAUGUACUUGGAUGUUUUUGUUGUAGACCUGGAAGAAGCAAUGAAUAAGAGAACAUGUUAGAGCUUUUAGUUACAUGCUGUUGUUAAUGAUCGAUUAUUUAUUGAUCCUUUAUGCUGGUGUUUGUGUAAUGUAGUCUGCUCUAUUGACUAUGCUGUAUAUCUUCAUUUUUUACUGUAUCUGUGGACUGCUAUUUAUGUUUGUAGGCAGAACUGAUUCCAACAGAUGUUUGAGCUUGUGCUCACACUGAAACUGUUAUUUUAAGGCACAGCUUGAAAAUGAAUGCAUUGUCUUGAUGAUUAAAAGUUCAAGCUGUGUUUUCUGAGACAAACUUCCAAGGAUUUAGCAACAAACUUGUUUUCAGAAGUUAGUUGAGGCUACUGUCUUUAGAUUUUGAUAUAUUCAUUUAGGUAUUUAUGAACUUAUUUCAGUUGAAAAUGCAUCCAAACAACAAAUGUUAAAUGUGGAAUCAACUACAGGUCACUUUGAUGGUGAAGACACCAGACAUACAGUGUAUUUGAUUCGAAUUAACCCAAUUCACCAAGUUCAUGUUUAGCAAAAUAAGAACCACGUGAUUUAAACAUCAUGAGUUGCGCUCCAUUAAUCUCUCUCUGUACAAAUAUCUUUGAAUGACAGUCAACACGUGAGCAGUUGGGAACAAGUUAAGACAAAUGCAGAGUGCUUCAGGCAGCAGUAGGUCAUGUGAGUGUGUGGGUGGUUGGUCCCUGCAGCUCUGCAGCUCCACAAUGAGCCCAGAGACGUGUGAAUAACAACCUGGAAUCUGGUAGAGGACAAACACCCAAAAGACAUUAUUCUGUCCCUGAUUUAUCAGAGAUUGAAUUGGUGAGGCCGUCCUUUAAACUAACACUGGUGUAUAACGUUUUAAUCUUAUCUUGGUUAAGUUAAUAAGUCAGAAGGAUUAGUAGCUUUCUGCUAUACAUCACACAGUCUGAAGAUUUAGUGCCAUGCAGGUAUCACACCAAAAAAAGAUCUGCAUCUUUUGGUGCUUUUAAAAAUCCUGCUUUGUGUCUUUUCUCUCUCUUUGACUUGAUUUCAGGUAAGAUUCUCAGGAUUACUCAGACCCUGCUUCAUGUUUACUUGAUAAUUGAACCCAAACAUAUGAACGCAGUUUACUGGAUCUGAAAAAGUACAAAACAACAAAAAGAAAAAUCACAGAGAAAUAUUAUUUCUUAAAUAAUUAACAAAUCUAUGUUGGUAGAUAAGAUACAUUCACCCGUUUCCGACAAUCCUGAUUCAAGAUAAUGACACUGAUUUGUAUAAAAUAAACUAAAAAAUACAAACUGCA